rnacentral:rRNA from 1 species
AGUGAACGCUGGCGGUAGGCCUAACACAUGCAAGUCGAACGGCAGCACAGUAAGAGCUUGCUCUUACGGGUGGCGAGUGGCGGACGGGUGAGGAAUACAUCGGAAUCUACUUUUUCGUGGGGGAUAUCGUAGGGAAACUUACGCUAAUACCGCAUACGACCUACGGGUGAAAGCAGGGGAUCUUCGGACCUUGCGCGAUUGAAUGAGCCGAUGUCGGAUUAGCUAGUUGGCGGGGUAAAGGCCCACCAAGGCGACGAUCCGUAGCUGGUCUGAGAGGAUGAUCAGCCACACUGGAACUGAGACACGGUCCAGACUCCUACGGGAGGCAGCAGUGGGGAAUAUUGGGCAAUGGGCGCAAGCCUGAUCCAGCCAUACCGCGUGGGUGAAGAAGGCCUUCGGGUUGUAAAGCCCUUUUGUUGGGAAAGAAAAGCAGCAGGUUAAUACCCCGCUGUUCUGACGGUACCCAAAGAAUAAGCACCGGCUAACUUCGUG